rnacentral:rRNA from 1 species
AUCCAGACUCCUACGGGAGGCAGCAGUGGGGGAUAUUGCACAAUGGGGGGAACCCUGGUGCAGCGACGCCGCGUGGGUGAAGGAGCGUUUCGGCGCGUAAAGCCCUAUCGGCAGGGAAGAAGGAGGACGGUACCUGACUAAGAAGCCCCGGCUAACUACGUGCCAGCAGCCGCGGUAAUACGUAGGGGGCAAGCGUUAUCCGGAUUUACUGGGUGUAAAGGGAGCGUAGACGGCAGUGCAAGUCUGGAGUGAAAGGCGGGGGCUCAACCCCCGGACUGCUCUGGAAACUGUACGGCUGGAGUGCAGGAGAGGUAAGUGGAAUUCCUAGUGUAGCGGUGAAAUGCGUAGAUAUUAGGAGGAACACCGGUGGCGAAGGCGGCCCGCUGGACUGUGACUGACGUUGAGGCCCGAAGGCGUGGGGAGCAAACAGGAUUAGAUACCCCCGUA